GUAGUAACUUCAGAAGAUGAUUCAAAGAGAGUUGACAUUGUUACUUAACAUCCAAUUGCAUGUCAUGUUCCAUUCAGCCCAAGUCGUGUUAAUUUAGUCAUCAUUUGGCAUGUGUGAACAGGGAACUCAUUUAUAAACGUGAAUAGUGUGCAUUCAGACAUGAUUAACAAUGUGAGCUAGAUGUAGCAUGGCAGCCAGAUCCCCUCCAGUGUCCAAAGACAAAGUUGAGACAUUGAUGCUAAGAAACAAGAAGUUGCUUCUGUGAAGGAAACAACUCAAAAAAUAGCUUAGUCAAUGUGAAACAUGUUUUUUAGU
rnacentral:lncRNA from 1 species